rnacentral:rRNA from 1 species
AGGAUUCGUCCAAUUGAAGCAGAGGACAGUGGCGAACGGGUGAGUAACGCGUGAGGAACCUGCCUCAAAGAGGGGGACAACAGUUGGAAACGACUGCUAAUACCGCAUAAGCCCACGGCUCGACAUCGGGCAGAGGGAAAAGGAGCAAUCCGCUUUGAGAUGGCCUCGCGUCCGAUUAGCUAGUUGGUGAGGUAACGGCCUACCAAGCCGACGAUCCAUAGCCGACCUGAGAGGUUGAACGGCCACAUUGGGACUGAGACACGGUCCAAACUCC